AGGGUUUGAUUCUGGCUCAGGAUGAACGCUGGCGGCGUGCUUAACACAUGCAAGUCGAGCGAAGCAAUUUAAAUGAGACUUCGGUGGAUUUUAGAUUGACUGAGCGGCGGACGGGUGAGUAACGCGUGGAUAACCUGCCUCACACAGGGGGAUAACAGUUAGAAAUGACUGCUAAUACCGCAUAAGCGCACGGCAUCGCAUGAUGCAGUGUGAAAAACUCCGGUGGUGUGAGAUGGAUCCGCGUCUGAUUAGGUAGUUGGUGAGGUAACGGCCCACCAAGCCGACGAUCAGUAGCCGACCUGAGAGGGUGACCGGCCACAUUGGGACUGAGACACGGCCCAA
rnacentral:rRNA from 1 species